rnacentral:lncRNA from 7 species
AAUUCAUUAUGCCUCCUUAUUUUCUUAAUGCUUGAAAUCGGCAAUAUUGCAUUGUAAUAAACCAGUAAAGAUGUUCUCCAUUAAUAUGACAUCCAGAUAGAAAGCCAAGUCUUUUCUCUUUCACGUGGGCAUAAGACCAGAGAAACUCCAAUUUAUUUGUUUACAAGGGUGGAAUAGAAUAAGCAAAUAGAAGCUACUUAUACUGCUACAGUGAUCUGUGCCUUUGCCACUUCAGGUGAAACCAGAGAUUUCCCAAUCCCAAAUGCUGUCUGGCCUAACCCAUGCGUUGUUAAUCUUAUUUCCAGGUCAGAAGGCUUGUGAAACUGCACUGGUAUAUGGAAAAAAACUACUUUUGAAAACUGCAUUCAUUCUGCUUUGCCUUCUUCAGCUGUCAACGCCCUGACACUGAUUCAGCUCUUCAUCUUUCAUAUCCCGGGACAGAGAAUAAACAAUACGUAGCCAGCUUCAGUGCAAGCAUUGAAAAACUGGAAAAUGAGGACUUUCUGAAAAAUAAAACCUUCGUGAACUGGUUGAUCUAGCUACUUGAUUUUGAAACUUUUUUGUUUUCUUUUGUUCAACACCCUCAUGCAGGGGAGGAAAAAAAAACAACAAAAAUGAAAGGAAAGCCAUUAAUGCUCUGUUUGGUAGUUUAUUCUGAUAUGUAUUUUAUUGUGACUUUUUCUAAUGUGCCAUACGUUGCCUGAUACACUGGAGUUUAAGCCUUCAUAGCAACUGACUUCUUUUGUGCUUCUCAGUUCUCCAGUCUGGGUUCUGAAAGAGGCAACAACAGAAGAGUUCCCUCCUCUGGGAAGAGGUCUCCCAGGGCAGUUCCCGGCCGAGCAGUGCCAUCUGCCGAAAGUGGAAAGCACAGCCCGGGAGCUGCGGGUCUGGAAGCGCUGCUCCUCCAGCGCUGCUAAAUGCUCUUUGUUUUGAGUUUACUUGAGGUUUGGGAUUCGAACUCUUCUGGUGCAGUUCCUAAGAACAGCAGUACUGCUGAGACAAGAAGUUUCUUUCUGUUGCUGGUAGUGAAAUCUGCUCUCAAAGAGCCUCUAGGCUGUUGGGAAACUGUCACCUGCUCUGUUCUUUGUCUCAUACUGACAAAGCAGCCUUGUUUUAGUUGAGAUGUAUAAUUUGCUCUUUCCAAUCAAGUGUGCUUAAAUAUUGAAUUCAGAAAAUGGAGUCUUUCUGCUUCGUUAAAGGAUUAAUAAGGCACUGAGCUCUGAAUGGACUGGUGGGAAAAACACCCUCAGGAUUCACUGAGGAGAAGGAAAUAAAACAGCAACUUUCCAGUAAGACAAGGCAUCAGAUGAGCUGUGCACUCCAAACUCUCUGGAGCAUGUUGGGUGAUUUUGUUCUCUACAGUAUAAUUUUCAUAUUGUAUUCUCAAGUCACAAAAGCUGUAAGUGUUUCUGUGUGGCCAGCAAAGCUAACCUUUCAAUUUAUGGUAUGAUGCUCCUUUAUCUUUGACG